AUACUUACCUGGCAGGGGAGAUACCAUGAUCACGAAGGUAGUUUUCCCAGGCUGAGGCUUAUCCAUUGCACUGCGGGUGUGCUGACCCCUGUGAUUUCCACAAAUGUGGUAGUGGGGGACUGUGUUCGCUCUUUCCCCAG
ensembl:snRNA U1 U1 spliceosomal RNA